rnacentral:rRNA from 1 species
ACUCAAAUGAAUAGACGGGGACCCGCACAAGCGGUGGAGCAUGUGGAUUAAUUCGAUACUAACCGAAGAACCUUACCCAGGUUUGACAUCGAUCGUAAGUUCCAGAAACGGAACCCUCUCCUCUAAAGGGAGACGUGAAGACACUUGUUGCAUGGCUGUCGUCAGCUCGUGCCGUGAGGUGUACGGUUAAGUCCGCCAACGAGCGCAACCCUCGUCCUGUGUUACCAGCGAGAAAGUCGGGGACUCACAGGAGACCGCCGGUGUAAACCGGAGGAAGGUGAGGAUGACGUCAAGUCAGCAUGGCAGUUACGCCUGGGGCUUCACACAUGCUACAAUGGGCGAAACAAAGGGCAGCGAUACCGCGAGGUGGAGCCAAUCCCAAAAAUACGCCCCCAGUUCAGAUUGCAGUCUGCAACUCGACUGCAUGAAGUCGGAAUCGCUAGUAAACGCAGGUCAGCUAUACUGCGUUGAAUACGUUCCCGGGUCUUGUACACACCGCCCGU